rnacentral:rRNA from 1 species
GUAAAUUUUUUUGGUCAAGCGUUUAAGGGCAUAAAGUGGAUUCCUUGGCGCCAAUGGUCGAUGAAGGGCGUAGCAAGCUGCGAUAAGCUUCGGGUAGCCGCUAACAGGCGUUGAUCCGGAGAUUCCCGAAUGGGGCAACCCGACACCGUUAAUACGGUGUCAUUCCUGGCUGAAUACAUAGGCCAGUGAAAGGCAACCGGGGGAAUUGAAACAUCUUAGUACCCCGAGGAAGAGAAAACAAAAGUGAUUCCCUUAGUAGCGGCGAGCGAACGGGGAUCAGCCUAAACCAGAUGGCACGUUAAAGCACGUACGCGUUGUGCCGCUGGGGUUGUGGGUCUUGGUCUGAGAGAAGUACGGAUCUCUCGGAAGGUUACAAAAACCGAUUUUAGUUUAAUGAGCUGGAACGCUCAGCCACAGACGGUGACAGCCCGGUGAACGAAAAGGUCGGUUCCUUCUGGACCAGGUACCCGAGUACCACGGGACACGAGAAAUCUUGUGGGAAUCUGGGAGGACCACCUCUCAAGGCUAAAUACCAAUUGGCGACCGAUAGUGAACAAGUACCGUGAGGGAAAGGUGAAAAGCACCCCGGUGAGGGGAGUGAAAUAGUACAUGAAACCUUAUGCCUACAAUCAGUGGGAGCACUAUAGUACCGGUUCGCCGGUGCCACGUGUGACCGCGUACCUUUUGCAUAAUGAACCGCCGAGUUACCUUAUGGAGCUAGGUUAAGCCGUUAGGUGUAGCCGUAGCGAAAGCGAGUCUGAAUAGGGCGUCCAGUUCCAUGGGGUAGACCCGAAGCCUAGUGAUCUACCCAUGACCAGGGUGAAGCGGAGGUAACACUUCGUGAAGGCCCGAACCAUUGAAUGUUGAAAAAUUCUUGGAUGAGUUGUGGGUAGGGGUGAAAGGCCAAUCAAACUAGGCAAUAGCUGGUUCUCCUCGAAAUAGUUUUAGGACUAGCCUUGUGUUAUAGCUUAUGGAGGUAGGGCUCUGGAUGGGCUAGGGGCCUCACCAGGUUACCAAACCCAACCAAUCUUCAAAUGCCAUAAGCCUUAUCACAGGAGUCAGACUACGGGAGCUAAGUUCCGUGGUCAAAAGGGAAAGAGCCCAGAUCACCAGCUAAGGUCCCUAAGACAGGCUAAGUGGGAAAGGUUGUGAAGAUACCUAGACAAUAAGGAGGUUGGCUUAGAAGCAGCAAUCCUUUAAAGAAAGCGUAAUAGCUCACUUAUCUAGUGUUUUCGCGCCGAAAAUUUAACGGGGCUUAAGCCUGGCACCGAAGCUGUGGGAUGUCGCAAGACAUCGGUAGAGGAGCGUUCUCUGUGGGAUGAAGCUCGACCGUAAGGACGGGUGGACUGCAGAGAAGUGAGUAUGGCGGUAUGAGUAACGAUAAAACAGGUGAGAAACCUGUUCGCCGAAAAUCCAAGGGUUCCUGAGGAAGGGUAAUCCUCUCAGGGUAAGUCGGCCCCUAAGGCGAGGCCGAAAGGCGUAGCUGAUGGGAAACGGGUUAAUAUUCCCGUACCACCUAUAGCGUGUAUCCUGCUAAGGGGUAACGUAGAAGGGUAGCUGAUCCGGGUGAUGGACGUCCCGGUACAAGCAAGUAGGAGGGAGAUUUAGGCAAAUCCGGAUCUCCUUAACUCCGAGAUGUGAUGUGGAGCUCUACCGUCAGGUAAAGCGAACUCAGUGAUCCCAUGCUACCGAGAAAAACCUCGUAGUUGGCGUUAUGGGUGACCGUACUCGAAACCAACGCAGGUGGAUGAGGAGAGAAUCCUAAGGCGCUUGAGAGAACUCUGGUUAAGGAACUUAGCAAAUUAGCUCCGUAACUUCGGGAUAAGGAGUGCCCUCAUUAGGUGAAAGGACUUGCUCCUGGAGCUGAGGGGGGUUGCAGUGACCAGGCAGCUGUGACUGUUUACUAAAAACACAGGACUCUGCUAAGUCGUAAGACGAUGUAUAGGGUCUGACGCCUGCCCGGUGCCGGAAGGUUAAAAGGAGAGGUCAACUUCGGUGAAGCCUCGAAUUGAAGCCCCGGUAAACGGCGGCCGUAACUAUAACGGUCCUAAGGUAGCGAAAUUCCUUGUCGGGUAAGUUCCGACCUGCACGAAUGGCGUAACAAUGGCUGCACUGUCUCAACCAGGGACUCAGUGAAAUUGACAUACCGGUGAAGAUGCCGGUUUCCCGCAGAAGGACGGAAAGACCCCGUGCACCUUUACUACAGCCUGAUAUUGGUUAUCGAUCUAGUAUGUGUAGGAUAGGUGGGAGACUUUGAAUCCAGGGCGCUAGCCUUGGUGGAGUCAACCUUGAAAUACCACCCUUAUUACAUUGCUAACCUAACCUAGGCCCGUUAUCCGGGUCAGGGACCAUGUCAGGUGGGUAGUUUGACUGGGGCGGUCGCCUCCUAAAAUGUAACGGAGGCGCGCGAAGGUUCUCUCAGGCUGAUUGGAAACCAGCCAACGAGUGCAAAGGCAUAAGAGAGCUUGACUGCGAGAGAGACAUCUCGAGCAGGUACGAAAGUAGGUCUUAGUGAUCCGGUGGUUCCAUGUGGAAGGGCCAUCGCUCAACGGAUAAAAGGUACGCCGGGGAUAACAGGCUGAUCGCUUCCAAGAGUCCAUAUCGACGAAGCGGUUUGGCACCUCGAUGUCGGCUCAUCGCAUCCUGGGGCUGAAGCAGGUCCCAAGGGUUGGUCUGUUCGCCCAUUAAAGCGGUACGCGAGCUGGGUUUAGAACGUCGUGAGACAGUUCGGUCCCUAUCCUCUGUGGGUGUUGGAAUUCUGAAAGGAUCUGUUCCUAGUACGAGAGGACCGGAAUGGACGAACCUCUAGUGUUCUGGUUGUGACGCCAGUUGCAUUGCCAGGUAGCUAUGUUCGGACUAGAUAACCGCUGAAAGCAUCUAAGCGGGAAACUAACCUUAAAAUAAGAAUUCCCUUCUCCUUCGGGAGACUCAAGGCUCCUUGAAGACUACAAGGUCGAUAGGCCGGGUGUGGAAGCGCAGUAAUGUGUGCAGCUAACCGGUACUAAUCAGCCGUGAGGCUUGGCCUU